UACAGAGGUCUCAAGCGUUGUUCGGAUUCAUUGGGCGUAAAGGGUGUGUAGGUGGCACCGUAAGUCGGGUGUGAAAUCUCGGGGCUUAACUCCGAAACUGCAUUCGAUACUGCGGCGCUUGAGGACUGGAGAGGAGACUGGAAUUCAUGGUGUAGCAGUGAAAUGCGUAGAGAUCAUGAGGAAGACCAGUGGCGAAGGCGGGUCUCUGGACAGCUCCUGACACUGAGACACGAAGGCCAGGGGAGCAAACGGG
rnacentral:rRNA from 1 species